UUUCAGGAUGCAACUGUGUGCAGAAACAUGGCCCAUCUCCGUCACCCUAUCGUUCAAGUUUGCCGGGUUGUAGAGCUCCGCCCUCAAGACUACUGGAGGGAGGACUGCACGCACUCAAUCAGUUGCUGUAAGUGGAGGCAUUCCAAAGUGACUAUUGGUCUCAAGCCCUUUGAAGGAAUACCCGCCUGAAGAUAUGAGGAAGAUCCUGACUGUUUUCCC